rnacentral:rRNA from 1 species
AUGCACGCUGGCGGCGUGCCUAAUACAUGCAAGUCGCGCGAACAGACGAGGAGCUUGCUCCUCUGACGUUAGCGGCGGACGGGUGAGUAACACGUGGAUAACCUACCUAUAAGACUGGGAUAACUUCGGGAAACCGGAGCUAAUACCGGAUAAUAUAUUGAACCGCAUGGUUCAAUAGUGAAAGACGGUUUUGCUGUCACUUAUAGAUGGAUCCGCGCCGCAUUAGCUAGUUGGUAAGGUAACGGCUUACCAAGGCAACGAUGCGUAGCCGACCUGAGAGGGUGAUCGGCCACACUGGAACUGAGACACGGUCCAGACUCUUACGGGAGGCAGCAGUAGGGAAUCUUCCGCAAUGGGCGAAAGCCUGACGGAGCAACGCCGCGUGAGUGAUGAAGGUCUUCGGAUCGUAAAACUCUGUUAUUAGGGAAGAACAAAUGUGUAAGUAACUAUGCACGUCUUGACGGUACCUAAUCAGAAAGCCACGGCUAACUACGUG